AUUGAACGCUGGCGGCAGGCCUAACACAUGCAAGUCGAGCGGAUGAAGGGAGCUUGCUCCUGGAUUCAGCGGCGGACGGGUGAGUAAUGCCUAGGAAUCUGCCUGGUAGUGGGGGAUAACGUCCGGAAACGGGCGCUAAUACCGCAUACGUCCUGAGGGAGACAGUGGGGGAUCUUGGGACCUCACGCUAUCAGAUGAGCCUAGGUCGGAUUAGCUAGUUGGUGGGGUAAAGGCCUACCAAGGCGACGAUCCGUAACUGGUCUGAGAGGAUGAUCAGUCACCCGGUAACUGAGACACAGCACAGACUCCGGCGGGAGGAAGCAGUGGGGAAUAUUGCACGAUGGGGGAGAGCCUGAUCCAGCCAUGCCGCGUGUGUGAAGAAGGUCCUCUGAUUGGAGAGCACUGUAAGUUGGGGGGAAGGGCAGUAAGUUAAUACCUUGCGGUAUUGACGGUACCAACAGAAUAAGCACCGGCUAACUUCGUG
rnacentral:rRNA from 1 species